rnacentral:lncRNA from 1 species
CGCAUGCCUAGCUUCUAUUUCCAAAAGCAUGGCGUGCACUAACCUUUCAUUGCUAAACCACCUCUUGAUCACUGUAUUGCUUGUCGUGGUUCGUGGCAUUAGCACAGCUGGUGUUGUCGUAGCUCCACCUCCCACUCUACCUCUUCCACGCCUACGUGCACCCUCUCCGACUCCUCGUCCUCCGAGUCUUGGGGCUCCUGCUCGCACUCCUCGUCCUCGUCCAUGGUUAAGGGCACCUUCUCCAGCUCGUGUUCCCCCACUGCUAGGAGCACCCCCUCGUAGUCCUAUUCUUCCUUCUCCUCGGGUAGGUGCUCCACCUCCCACACCUCCUCUUCGUCCUCCAAAAUCUGGAACACCCCUUCCUACCCCUGUUUCUCCUACUCCUCGGUUAGGGGCUCCCGCUCGCGGACCUAUUCUUCCUCCAACUCGUGCUCCUGUACUUCCUACCCGUCGGAAGGGUGCACCACCUUCUACUCCUCCACUGCCACCACCACGAUUAGGGGCGCCCCUCCCGUCCUCUCCUCUUCCUCCAACUCGUGCUCCUGUACUUCCUCCUCGUCGGAAGGGUGCUCCACCUUCCACUCCUCCACUUCCUACACCAAAAUUAGGGGCACCCCUCCCGUCCCCUCCUCAACCUCCAGCUCGUGCUCCUGUACUUCCUCCCCGUCAGAAGGGUCCUCCAUCCUCUACUCCUCCACGUCCUGCACCAAGGUUAGGGGCACCCCUCCCGUCCUCUCCUCUUCCUCCAACUCGUGCUCCUGUACUUCCUCCUCGCCAGAAGGUUCCUCCACCUUCCACUUCUCCACGUCGUGCACCAAGAUUAGGGGCACCCCUCCCAUCCUCUCCUCUUCCUCCAACUCGUGCUCCUGUACUUCCUCCCCGUCGGAAGGGUGCUCCACCAGCCCACGUCCUGCACCAAGAUUAGGGGCACCCCUUCCGUCCUCUCCUCUUCCUCCAACUCGUGCUCUGGUGCUUCCUCCCCGUCGAAAGGGUGCUCCACCAGCCACUCCUCCACGUCCUACACCAAGAUUAGGGGCACCCCUCCCAUCUUCUCCUCUUCCUCCAACCCGUGCUCCUGUACUUCCACCCCGUCGAAAGGGUGCUCCACCUUCCACUCCUCCAGUUCCUACACCAAAAUUAGGGGCACCCCUCUCGUCCCCUCCUCAACCUCAAGCUCGUGCUCCUGUACUUCCUCCCCGUCGGAAGGGUGCUCCACCUUCCACACCUCCACGACCUGCACCAAGAUUAGGGGCACCCCUCCCGUCCCGUCCUCAACGUCCAGCUCGUGCUCCUCUACUUCCUCCCCGUCAGAAGGGUGCUCCACCUUCCACUCCUCCACGACCUGCACCAAGAUUAGGGGCACCACUCCCAUCUCCUAUUCUUCCUCCUCCAGCUCGUGCUCCUAUACCUCCUCCCCGUCGGAAGGGCACUCCACCUCCCGCACCACGAUUGGGGGUACCUCUUCCGUCUCCUAUUAUCCCUCCCCCUAAGAAGGGCACCCCACCCUCCACUCCUCCACUUCCUACACCACGAUUAGGGGCACCCCUCCCAUCCCCUGUUAUCCGUCCCCCUAAGAAGGGCACUCCACCCUCCAUUCCUCCACUUCCUCGUACUCCUAUUCUCCCACCCCCUCGAAAGGGCGCUGCACCUUCUAGUCCUCCACUGCGUCCACCACGGCGGCUCGGGGCACCAGUUCCAUCUCCUCGUUUUCCUCCCCUCGACUAGGGGCUCCUCCUCGCACUCGUAUUCGUACAACACAUGGCUUAGAUAUUGCUUCUAGUUAAAUAAUCUAUGGCAUUUUUUUACUAUUUGUAACGAUAUUAACAAUUAAAUGUAAGCAUUUUCAUUAUUAUCAGCUUGGUAUAUAUGUUUUUUUGCGAGACAGCUUGGUAUAUAUGUUGAUGCACAUUUCCAUGCUUCGAUUGAGUUUUAAGGUUUCCAACUUGAUUUGUGUUGAUUUUUGUUAAUUAAGAAAACACAUAUGUAAUAGCGAGAGCUCUGAGAGCAUCUGGACCAAGAGAUGUUCUGAAUCGUGGCGCGGGGGCAAGUUCUGUAUGUACGAGUGGAAGAAGCGUCAAGCAUUGCAUGCAUUUUUUUGAGGAGAAAGCAUGGCAUGCAGUUGCUCCAACAUGGAGCAGCACGAGUACGUACCUCGCGCUCACGGUGUCUUAUGGGUCUGCUAUGCUAGUUGAUGACCGGUCAUCAUCGUCAUCUCCCUCCUCUCGAUCUGUUGCAUUGCAUGUGUACGUGCUCGAUCGAACAGGAUCAAGCCGGCGAGGACAUCAGGUAUGUGGACGCCGGCCUGCGCAAGAUUUGCCAAAACCGUCGUCAACAGGCCCUAAUCGACGCGGGCGGUGGAAGCAGGCGAGUCCAGGUACAUAUACGUGUUGUGUACUGUACAGCGCAAGUGCCGCGCCGAUCAAGAAAGAUUGAAACAAAUUUGUAAUUCUAUUCUAUCUAGCAUUUUCCUAUCGCCAAUCAGCCGGACCUUGUUGGAGCCAUCGAAUUUUAUAUGGAUUGUCGAUCUUGUCAUGAUUGAUCGAUCGAGCAGCAAACUUUUGAUGUGUUCAAAUUCUUCAAUAUAAUGGAUCUUGUAAUUGGGCUUCACGAGUCUGGAGCUUAUUAUGGUUUCAACCAAGAGGCAUAAUUAAGGAUUAUAUUUAGCUGCUCGUGUUUUUUAAUGUACAAGAGUCAAGAGGCAUACAAGCUGCGGGUGUUUUUUAGAUGUCUUUAUGCAGUGCAGCGCUUCUGGAGACUGUACAGCCUCAUGUAUGGAGUCAGUGCAUUGUGGGUUCUACCUUCUGGCUCUGGACUAGCAAGACGAAGCUCUUUAUCCAAGAGGCAGAGGAUACUGAUUUUGUGAACUAUUUGGGAGAAGCAAAUAACAGAUUGGCCUACUCCGCUAUAGCAUUAUAUUCACAUAUGUCGGUUUCUCUACCAAAAUUAUUUUGUCUAAUUUGAAAUAGUUAUUUUAUUUGAAUUUUUUGGUGAUGAAAUAUUGUACCAAGUUACUUGUUAAUUAAUUAGUCUUCUAAAUCAUGUGCUGCUGCUUAAUGGUUGAGUUGAUUCUUUGAGGGCACUCACAAUGCAGACUCUAUCAUAGAGUCUAAAGUUAUUUAUUACCUCGAACAAUGUGGACUUGGAGUCUAAAUAAGACUUGAAGUCUUAUUUUUUUUACCUCUUUCUUCAAUAAAUAUGCUACCACAUCAGCAAAAUACUAUAAAUAAUAUGUAAUUAAGUGUCUUGGACUCUGUGAUAGAGUCUUGCAUUGUGAGUGCCCUGAUAGAAUCACCGGAAAAGAUAAUCCCUUACAUAUGAUUGUAGUCAUGAAUGACUGGCCAUGUUUCUGCAAGUGUUUAUUGUCCAUAUAUACAUUGCAAUCAAGCAAAAAGAUGGAGGUUGCACUAAUUUUAUUUCUCUAUUGAUUUUGAUUUAUUAUUUUUCAUACUCUUUUUGAGUUAAAAUUGCCGAUGGAUGCUGGAUUGGCUGGUCAAGCACUUUGGGUGGCACCCUCGCGGCCUGGGUUCGAUCUCCCACGGGGCUAAUUGCAAUGUUAGAGGUAAAAAACCCGCCUCACCUGCUCCGCGUUAUACCAGAGCACAGGUUUGUGGCACCGGCCCACUCACAUGGUAACAGGCCCCUGUGUGCGGGCGGGAUUCUUAGUUUGGAGGUUUUUUCAGACUAGGUAAGGAGUCAUCUACCGUAGUGCGAAAUGCUCGGGGGCACAUGUUAUCCCCCUACAGUUCGUUUUGGGGGGUGGUAAAAAAAAUAUUUUGGCUCUUGAGUUCUGACUCAUUGGGUCGAAAUUUUGACAUUGCCGAAGCAACGCAUGGGCAUGAGCUAGUUCCAGAUGAUUUUCAGACCUGUUUUGCAUGCAUGUGAGGUGAUAUAGAUGAUCCAGCGGCUGCAAAUUAAUAAGCCAUUUGGCGGUUGCCGGUUGCAGUCGCAAGCGCCCAGUGCGGUACCAUGUACGCAUCUAGUACUCCCUCCAUCUUAAAUGGCUAAAUUGUAAGUUAUUGUGAUAUCUCUAGAAGUUAGAAUAAGUUUUAUGUAGAUCUAUAUAGCGACGAGUCACCAUGAUGGUAUAGUUUUCAAAUUCACUUCAUCUACAAAAGACAUUAGGCGUGUUUAAUACAGCGGCAGCCGCUAUGGCUACAGCUGCAGUUAUCAUCACACGCAACAGUACCAUGCAGUAGUUGUGAAAAGUGAAAAUAUAUAUGCUGCAAACAAGGUCACUGCUACAAGCUACCAUAUCACCCAACGUCUCGCUAGUUUCUUUGAAUGGACCAACAUUAAUUUUUUUUCGUAUCCUUUCUUGCUAUAAUCUCCAAUCUUCACGCAUGUAUCUCUCACCAAUCCAUUCUUUCUCUCUUCCCCCAACUCCUCUCCACGUAUACUAGACCCCUCACGGUGGCAUGGAUCUCGGCCUCGCAGUGUGACAAGCGCAAGGGCAAAGCUAGAAAUUUAUAUCACCAAAGUUAUCAAAGCCUUUUUUGCAAUCUUAAUUAUGUAUUUUGAAGAGGAGAUUUAGCAUUGUGAUGGUAUAACUAUAGAAGGAUUAGCAUAUUUUUAUUGGGGUCGGCUGACCCUACAGCUGCUUGUAGCUCUGCCCCUGCGAGCGCAGCUAGAUGCGCGAUCGAGAGCGCGUGGUGGGUACAUGCAAGGCCCACAUCGUAUGUAAUAAGACAGCAAGCUAGGCGAGCAUGGCGCAUAGCGAGAAAGCAGACAGUGUGCACUAGCUUGAGCCAUACACUGAGUGAUAAAAGUGGCCGGCUGCACGAUCGGCCAGCAAGGUCACGAAACUAGGGAGUGCCUACGCUGAGCAUGGAAUGCCCUUGUGGCUAUUGAGUGCUACACCCUCCUUGCAUCAUGCUCCCUUCACCAAUUUCGAAGGCAGUGAAAGCCCCUAGUUUGGUUUUGAUAAUUGAUGAAACCUAAGGACUAAUUAUUAUGCUAAGUGUGUAAACAUGAAAUGAUAAGUCCUAUACCAAGUGGUGAAGCUAGAGGAUCAUGGUGAUGGUGGUGAUGACUACAAGAUGAUCAAGUGCUCAACUUAGAAAGAAGAAAGAGAAAAACAAAUCCUAUGAAGCAAGGCAAAGAUAUAAGAUAGGGUUUUUGGUUUUGGUGAUUAAGAUAUCAUAGAGGGUGUGAUCAUACUUAGAAUAGAUAGCCAUACUAUAAAGAGGAGAAUUCUUUGCGGUCUAUUAAGUGGUAGUAGGUGACAUUGUUCAUGUACAUAUAUUUAGAACCUAGUGAGCUAACUUAACUCAUUUGAAGAAAAUGAUUGUGAAAAUACUAACACAUAUUCACACGUGAUAUAAACAUGGUGGUGUUGGCACAUUUGCAAAGGAGGUGGAGUUUGAGGGGUCGAGAGGGGUUUAGGAUCCUCUCCCUUUCUCUUGCCUCGCAAGCUCGGCGAGAUUUCGUGUUUUUGUGAAAAUGAAAUGCCUAUUUUUCCAUAGCGCUGGAGGCAGAUUUGAAAAGGUGACAAAGUUGUGGAAGUGUUUCUGUGAGAAACACUCACCGGACACUAGCGUCGGGCGCACCAGACACUAGGGCAGCAUCCGGUCAGUGUUGGUGGUGCAUGCGCUCGCUUUCUAUUUUGCUAGGGUUGAGCACUGAAUGCUGGCGCGGCCUGACCAGGGCGUCAGGUCACCUUUUGGAGUUAAGCAGAUGUAGGUGACUAGAUGCCGGCUAAAUACUAUUCAGCGUCCGGUCGUGGUUACAUGGCUUCACGCGUGCAGCACUAAGGGAGGAUCGAAGGCUACGUUCGGUCACCGAGCAUCGGACACGCCCGGUCGUGGAGUCGUGUUCUAGAACCUCUCUGAGUUGCGAUCAGACACUGGGGUCCUCAAUCCAGUCAUCUUGUGAAGAGCGUCCAUGUGAGCUUGACCAUUGAGAUCUAACACGCAAUGUUCAAAGGCAUAGGACACCUGGCAGGCAUCCGAGCACCGAACGCUAGGGUAUGUGUCUGAUCGUUUCGACUGGAAUGUCAGUGGCCUCAAGUUUUAUGAGAAGAGAGGGCCAAUAGCUCUAUUUCUUCGGGGGCUUAUAAAUAGUGUUUGGCCGACUUAGGGCUCACUCUCUUAGCGUUUUGAUACACUUGACAAGCUUGUGAGCCUAAGCAAACACCUCCCACUCAUCUCCUUCAUAGAUUCACCAUCUUUAUGAGAUUGAGAGUGAUUCCAAGUGCAUUUACAUGAGUAAUUGCAUUUAGUGGCACUUGGGAAUCGUUUGAGCUAUGGAUUUCUUGUUACUCUUGGUGGUUGCCACCACCUAGAUGGCUUGGAGCGGCGGGUAGCAUUGGCACGAGUUGGUGAUUAUUCAUGGCCAUCUCCUGGUGUUUGUGAGGAGUUCUUAUGCCUUUCCUAGUGGAGCGCCAAAGGCAACUCUAGUGGAUUACAUGUGUGGGUAGGUUCUUGCAGUGUCUAAUUAUAUGGAUGAGGUUCGUGCUACACCUCUUAGCCGCCAAACCACCAAGUGUUGGUUGACACAACAGAGACUAGCGUGUCGACAAGUACAUGAACCUCAAGACAAAAAAUCAAUUGUCUCUUGCCUCCUUGGUAUUCUCCCGGUGAUUGAUUGGUAUUCAUAUUGAUUGGUUCAUCCCUUCUACAUAUUGGUAUAAAUAUCACAACCUCCUCUUUUACAUUCUCACAAACUAGUUGUGACAAGCUCUAGUGUAACUUAGAUUGAGAGCUUGUCUUGCUUGUGCUAGCUUAAAUCUUCCACCUAGUUGUGCUCUUUAGUGCAGCUAGUUGUGAGAGCUCAUAGCGAUAUAGCCUUUGCUCAUAGCAACUAGAAUUGUUGGAUAGGUGGCUUGCAACCCUCUUGUAGAGCUAGAGCAAAAAGCUUCACUUUAUUAUCUUCUAACUUGUGCUCUAGUGUUUUGUAGAAUUUUAAAUAGUCUAUUCACCCCUCUAGCUAUAUCAGGACCUUUCCAAGGUCCAAGUUGCAUUUUAUUCUAUGUGAUAUGGUAGUCUACAAAAGAACGCAAUGAAACUCUCGACUAGCAUUGGCCUUAGCUCAUGUGACACGCACAUAUUGAUACACUGGUGUUGGUUUGUCAAGAAACAAAAUCAAUUUGGUGGGUUGGAGUUAUUGCUUUCGUCUCAUUUUACACCGGGUUGGAUUAAGGUCAACUUGAGGAAAACUAUCAGGUCAAAUCCAUGCUGUGAGCUUGACCUGACUUACUAGCGGGUCAAGUCAGGAUAUUUUUUGGAUUUUUUUCUACUUCUACAUUGGAUUUUUCAAGUUGGAUUGAAUCAUGGAUAAAAAAAUUAUAACCUGAAUUUGAUCUGACGCACUUGGGUCAGGUUGAAUCGAAUGGUCCAUAAUAAUGCAUAUGUAAUUUUUUAUUCCUAAGUUAGAUUCAUUAUCUAAUCCAAUAUAUAGAAUAUGGAACUUGUUUAUUUUAAGACAAUUAGAGUAUAUAUCGGCACUUAGCAUUGGCCUCAACAUAUGGUGGGGAUGUUUAGCAUCAUUGCCCAGUUGUGAGGUUUCCAUGGACAUGGAUCUGGGUCUCCAGUAUGGCCUUGCAUGCACGGAUCCGGCUGACAUUUAGACGAUGAAGUCACUUGACGGAUAUGAGGUGACCAGCGCUAUAUAUUUAUAGUAGUACAUAUUGUGAGGACUGGAUGUUGUUUCGCAUCACUCCUCGGUUGUGAGAUUUUUAUGGACUUGGUUGUGGGCCUCCUGUUUGUCAUACAUGCACGGAUCUGACUCCUAUUUAGACGACAAAGUCACUUGGUGGAUACAAGGUGACAAACACAAUAUAUAUUUCUAGCAGUGUGUUCCCAACCAUCGCACACUGCAUGCCUAGCUUCUAUUUUCAAAAGCAUGGCGUGCACUAACCUUUCAUUGCUAAACCACCUCUUGAUCACUAUAUUGCUGGUCGUCGCUCAUGGCAUUAUCACAACUAGUGUUGUGAUAGCUCCACCUCCCACUCCUCUACCUCUUCCACGGCUACGUGCACCCUCUCCGACUCCUCGUCCUCCGAAUCUUGGGGCUCCUGCUCGCACUCCUCUUCCUCGUCCACGGUUAAGACCACCUUCUCCAGCUCGUGUUCCUCCACGGCUUGGAGCACCCCCUCCUAGUACUAUUCUUCCUUCUCCUCGGGUAGGUGCUCCACCUCCCACACCUCCUCUUCGUCCUCCAAAGUCUGGAACACCCCUUCCUACCCCUGUUCCUCCUACUCCUCGGUUAGGGGCUCCCGCUCGUGGACCUAUUCUUCCUCCAACUCGCGCUCCUAUACUUCCUCCUCGACAGAAGGGCGCACCCCCUUAUACUCCUCCGCGGCCAGCACCACGAUUAGGGGCACCCCUCCCAUCCUCUCCUCUUCCUCCAACUCGUGCUCCUAUACUUCCUCCCCGACGGAAGGGUGCUCCACCAGCCACUCCUCCACGUCCCGCACCAAGAUUAGGGGCACCCCUCCCGUCCUCUCCUAUUCCUCCAACUCGUGCUCCGGUGCUUCCUCCCCGUCGGAAGGGUGCUCCACCAGCCACUCCUCCACGUCCUGCACCAAGAUUAGGGGCACCCCUCCCAUCCUCUCCUCUUCCUCCAACUCGUGCUCCAGUACUUCCUCCCCGUCGUAAGGGUGCUCCACCAGCCACUCCUCCACGUCCUGCACCAAGAUUAGGGGCACCCCUCCCGUCCUCUCCUCUUCCUCCAACUCGUGCUCCGGUGCUUCCUCCUCGUCGGAAGGGUGCUCCACCAGCCACUCCUCCACGUCCUGCACCAAGAUUAGGGGCACCCCUCCCAUCCUCUCCUCUUCCUCCAACCCGUGCUCCUGUACUUCCUCCCCGUCAAAAGGGUGCUCCACCUUCCACUCCUCCACUUCCUACACCAAAAUUAGGGGCACCCCUCCCGUCCCCUCCUCAACCUCAAGCUCGUGCUCCUGUACUUCCUCCCCGUCGGAAGGGUGCUCCACCUUCCACACCUCCACGACCUGCACCAAGAUUAGGGGCACCCCUCCCGUCCCGUCCCCAACCUCCAGCUCGUGCUCCUCUACUUCCUCCUCGUCAGAAGGGUGCUCCACCUUCCACACCUCCACGACCUGCACCAAGAUUAGGGGCACCCCUCCCGUCCCGUCCCCAACCUCCAGCUCGUGCUCCUCUACUUCCUCCUCGUCAGAAGGGUGCUCCACCUUCUACUCCUCCACGACCUGCACCAAGAUUAGGGGCACCACUCCCAUCUCCUAUUCUUCCUCCUCCAGCUCGUGCUCCUAUAGCUCCUCCCCGUCGGAAGGGCACUCCACCUCCUGCACCACGAUUGGGGGUACCUCUUCCAUCUCCUAUUAUCCCUCCCCCUAAGAAGGGCACCCCACCCUCUACUCCUCCACUUCCUAAACCACGAUUAGGGGCACCCCUCCCGUCCUCUGUUAUCCCUCCCCCUAAGAAGGGCACUCCACCCUCCACUCCUCCACUUCCUCGUAUUCCUAUUCUCCCACCCCCUCGAAAAGGUGUUGUACCUUCUAGUCCUCCACUUCGUCCACCACGGCGGUUCGGGGCACCAGUUCCAUCUCCUCGUUUUCCUCCCCUCGACUAGGGACUCCUCCUCGCACUCGUAUUCGUACAACACAUGGCUUAGAUAUUGCUUCUAGUUAAAUAAUGUACGUCAAUUUUUUUUUACUAUUUGUACCGAUAUUAACAAUUAAAUGUAAGCAUUUUCAUUAUUAUCAGCUUGG